AUUAUAUUUUUUUGGGAAGUUCUUUAUUAGCUAUCUAGAAAACUAGAAAUAUAGAGAGCCUUUUCCUUCGGUGAAGGUAGAGGCUUGCUGGGUAGAGCUGUGAAUGAGUUCAGCCUUUUUUUUUGUUUUUUUCCUGCCUGGAGCCACAACGAUGGCUACAUGGUGCAUCCAGCCUCCCAACAAACCCUAAUAUUUACCCCUGAUAACCCCCGCUCUCUUUUGUCUACCCGUUUAUCUUUUUCAGAACUUUUUGAUGGAAUCCUCGCCUGAAAAAUCACCAGAAAAUUUAAGCUCUGGUGUGCCUGGAAGCAGGGGCGGGGAUCUAGGGUUUCAGACUUGUGCCAGGCCCGUUCGCGAGGGUGUACGGUUGUCGCAGCAACGCAAAUUGAACGGUUUCCUGCUUUGCAACGACAAUGCUGAGGCUGAGUAUGAGAAGAAGGUAUCAAACACGUGGAAACGUGAUCCUACUUCUACCAAAAAGACAUUGGAUGAAGGGGUGAUAGACUUGAAUGCAGAGCCGGGCAAUUUCUCAAUAAACAUAGGCAAGGAAACAUUAAAUGAUUGUUGUAUAGCAGAUAGUUCCACUGAUAAGGAAAUGUUGGUCUCGUUUAAUGAAUCUAAUAAAUCAGGUUCUGAUUUUUUUACGAAAGUUUCAAAGAAAAGAAAGCAAAGGAAUCAGCAAAACAAAUUUCCAAAUGACUAUAAUGGGACACCCAUAGGGAAGAAAAAGUGUCGGCGACUGAAGGAACAAAAAAUUGAACCUGAUUCAACUUCCAAUGGUGCCAAGAGAAAUUCCUCUAAGAGGAAAUUGACACGGGAUAAGUUUGAGAAUGCAAUUGACUUAGGAACUCAAAGCCAAAGUAAUGCGCCAACUUUAGUUUGUGACCUGUGGAUGGAGGCAAAGAUGGCAGCAGAAGAAAAUGCUCGACUGUUUGCUGGAAGGAAAACACAUCCAUUCUUCACUUGCCAGAAGCCGAUUAAAAGAUCCCUGAUAUACAAGGAGGCAGUUGAAGUGGGAACUAAAGACAUAACUCUCCCACAAGAUGAAGAGAUCAUGCCUUAUCCUCCUGUACACAUAAAUGGGACAAAACAGGAUGAAUAUUUUCUUUUAGAUUGGAAAAAGUGGAACUUUUUGGAGCAGCCGUUUUUGAACUCCAUUGGCCGCCAUCAUAUUGCUUUGGAAAAUUCUUGUUCAUCGGUAUUUGAAGGUUCUGUGGAGCCCUUGAACUUUGAUAAGAUUCCUUCCUCUUCCAAUUUUCAGAGAAUUUUGUUUCCUCAGAAAGAGGUACCCUUUUAUCAGUUGCAUGAUGCAGAAGGAGAUCACUUGGUAUUGUCAACAGAAGACCCUUCUGUAUCUAAAGAAGCAAAGGUGACAUAUGAUCAAGUAGUAGAUCAUUCGAUAUCAAUGGAAGGGAAUGAAAAUCUUGAUCAGCUCUUAGGAUAUUUGCAUGCGGUAUCUGGAUGUGUUGAUUCUAGAUGGAGCACAGGGAAUGAGCCAUGUGAAGAAUUUCUUCAUGAAAGGAUGGCAUCAUAUUAUCUUCGUUGCAAGAAUGGGAGGUCAAGUUGUAGCUUGUGGACAGAUAAAUAUCAACCAGAAUCUGCUUCGGAGGUCUGUGGUAAUAGUGAAUCAGUUAGAUUUCUGAAUCAGUGGUUGAACUGUUGGCGUGGUUGGGAUCGAGAAACCUAUAAAGGUCCUACAAAGGAUUAUAGAUGUCACAUUUAUGAUGACGACUAUAGCUGUUUCGAAGAAGAUUUUGAUGUAGGUAGCUUGGAUAAAGAAACCAUUUUAAAAAAUGUUAUGCUGCUUACGGGACCAGUUGGGAGUGGGAAGUCUGCUGCUAUCUAUGCUUGUGCUAAAGAACAAGGAUUUGAAGUAAUUGAGGUGAGUGCAUCUGAUUGGCGCAAUGGAUCAUUGGUGAAGCAAAAAUUUGGUGAGGCUGUGGAAUCUCAUAGAUUGCAUAAAAGGUCAGUUGAGGAUCUUAGAUAUUCACCAAACAAGCUUAGGACAAGUUCCUCCCAGGACAUAUUAAGAAACGAUGGGAAUGGUGCACCAAAGGUUGAAGCAAAGGUGCAUGAGUUCAAAACCGGUAUGGAUGCAACCAGGAAUGAAAUGGAAGGGCCAGAAGAAAAUAGAGAGAUUAGAAGCUCUAGUGGUCAAACCGGUAAGAAAUCUUUGAUUCUCUUCGAGGAUGUCGAUACAAUUUUCAAUGAAGACCGUGGGUUUCUAGCUGCUAUAUUGCAACUUGCUGAGACAGCGAAGCGGCCGAUAAUACUCACUAGUAACAGGAAGGAUCCUCAUCUACCGCUCCUCUUGAAUAAAUUGACAAUUAAUUUCAUGCUCCCAUCCCUGGUGGAGCUGCUUUGCCAUGUGUAUAUGAUCUGUGUUGCAGAAGGUGCAAAAGUCUUACCUCACUUGAUAAAUCAUUCAAUCAGAUGCUGUCAUGGUGAUAUCAGGGGAACAAUCAUGCUCCUGCAGUUUUGGUGCCAGGGGAAGAAAUCCUUUCAAUAUGAAAGGAUGUUGACAUCUACGUAUAGGCCGCUACCUUUUGAUCUUGAUGCUGGGUAUCAUAUACUGCCGAAAGUGAUACCUUGGGGUUUUCCUUGUCCAUUGUCUACAAUGGUUCAUGAGGAAAUUUCCCAUACACUGUCUCUGGUCAAAGAAAAUGUAUGGAAUAUAGAAGAGGUCUUGGCAAUUAAGGUUACCCUCAAAGGGAAACUUAAUGCUUCAGUGAAUUUCAGUGAUGAGAAAGAGGUUAUAGAUGCCAAAAAGGAGGUGCUGUUGAACAGGAAUUUCUCUGACAAUGAAGGUAAUGAGCUGUUUUCAACUCAGUCUGAUGAUUUUGAUGGAUUGUCUAAAGCUGUAGGCACCCCUACCAAGUCUAUUCAACUGCCUCGUGAUUGUAGACGUCGAGCUAUGGUGACUUCUGACUCCGAAGAUGGUUCGCUUUCUGAUCAACCUCCUCUGGAAACACCAAAGAGGGAUACAUGCAAUGAAUGGGUUCAAGAUCCAUUCAAUGGGUCAUUUUCUAGAAGGUCAGCUUUAGGUAUUGGCACUCUGUCAUCUCCUGAUUCAAAGCAGAACCAGAAAACAGAUAAAUUUGAUCCAAGGAGGUUGAAAAGGUUAAAGAGAGUAAGGGAUUUAGAUAUGUGCACCCUCACUGCAUCAAAAGAGAUAUCUUGUUUCCCAGAAUCGUCAUUCAUUCUUGGGGCAAGAAUUGACAAUGUGGAUGAUUCACUUUGUUCUCCAAGUGUAGCUGUUACCUUGGAAGGAAUUUCCCAUUGCCUAGAGGAGCUUGAAAACCUUCAAGAGACAAAUAAUCCAGAUAAUUACGAAAUAGAACUGGAUAGGGUUUCUGAAACUGUGUUCGGAGAUACUUGUGAGGCAGCCAUUAAUUCAGUCACUAGCAAUGCGGUGCUAGACAAAUCCAAAAUGGAACCAAUAGAAACCAUAAAUGGAGCAUAUCCAUUGAUGGAUGAAUGCAGCCGUGUAGAUUUUAACAUAUGUAAUAUGGCCAGAGAUUCUAGCCAUCCAGAUGCUACACUUUCAGUCCUGGAGACAUGGAAGAAAUUACGAAGCCACAAGGAGGAUCUUAAAUCGCAUCUAUCCUCAGAAGUACAAGCCCUUUCAAGAGUAAUAGAUUCCACCCUUGAACUUAUUGACCUCUUUUCUGCAACCGAUGUCCUGCUGACUACGUGCCAAUUGGUCUGCAGUGAUUUUUUGACACCAUGUGAGGAACUGGAUAUUAUGUCUUGGUAUGAUCAGAGGUUGGAGAUGGCAUCUACACUUUCUCACCAUGGCAUCUGCUUUUAUGCAAAGGAGUCUGCUGUGAUGGGUUCUGAACUGGGUUAUGAAACGAAAACAGAUUUGGCUUCUGAAAUGUUGGCUGCCAGCUCUGACACGGCAGCUUUUGGGAAGCUGAUAACUCGGCAGACAAUCAAUACGUCUGCUGAAAGAGAUCCAUCCAUCCAGGCAUCAAAAAUGGACAUUUUAAGUGAAAGAGAGAGUCUACAAUCUAGGCUUUCAGAUUGCUUGCUGUCUUUAGUUCCUGCAAGAACUAUUUUGUCAGUGAAAGGUGCACAAUUUCACGAGUACUCAUCCUUUUUGGGCCAAAUUGCCAACUCUGAGGUUGCCCGUCUGUCUCAGGGGAAUUUCAAAAGACGCAGUGCUCGCCGUUCUCGCAACUACUUGACAACCAGACCAUACAAGUUGUCGUCAGAAGAUGUGCACUUGCUAGCCCAGUAUGGCGGCUUUGGGAAAGUCAAAGGGCUUUCCAUAGAGCGAGGUGUUACGACAUGAGGAUCUUUAAGUUCCUCUCCAUGCAAAGCGUUCAUAAUUGUCCUGUCUGAUGCUGAGAUCUUUCUGACGAAAUUUGUCUAGCGAAGGCAAAAAAACAUGGUUGCCUUAAGGAGCUCCUUGCCAUCUAUCUAUUCUUCCCCCUGAAGCUUAUUGGAAGUUUUAGUCCUCAGCUUCAUCAUCAACCAUUGAAGGACACGCAAAGUUAUUUAGAAGCGCCGGGGCCUAAGGCAGCGGGGUUUGCAUCGGUUGUCACUGCACUGUUCUGACCAUGCUUGGAUGACAAUGACUUUAUAGGUGGAGUUUGCAUUUGUAACAAUUGUGGAUAAUUGUUCUCUGGAGGAUGUCUUUUUGCUUAGACAAAGGGGUUGGUGGGCCUGAGUGACCUUGGGCUUUUGUAUUUUUUUUGGGUGAGUCAGUGGGUAGAGGCCCCUACCCUAGUAAAGAGGAAAGCGAUGAGCGCCCAACAGUAAUGAGAGGCAAAAAUGAACGGCUCCUUUGACAUUUUGUGUUGGAAAGAGAUUAUUGGUUUGCAAUCGUUAAUGCCAACAGGAUAUACACAUUUUACUGUCA